rnacentral:rRNA from 1 species
CAGCCGCCGCGGGAAUACGAAGGUGGCAAGCGUUGUCCGGGAUUAUUGGGCGUAAAGGGCUCGCAGGCGGUUUCUUAAGUCUGAUGUGAAAGCCCCCGGCUCAGCCGGGGAGGGUCAUUGGAAACUGGGAAACUUGAGUGCAGAAGAGGAGAGUGGAAUUCCACGUGUAGCGGUGAAAUGCGUAGAGAUGUGGAGGAACACCAAUGGCGAAGGCGACUCUCUGGUCUGUAACUGACGCUGAGGAGCGAAAGCGUGGGGAGCGAUCAGGAUUAGAGACCACCGUAGUCCCUGUCUCUUAUAC